CUCCAGUGGGUCUCCCUCGGCUCAUAAACUAGUUGUCGAGCAGUUUGUUUUGAGCAGAAAAAAAGGAGUGCUUUGAAAUUGGAAAAGCAAACAAAUUAAAGAAUCAGAGAGGAGAAUGGCUUUGUGGAAAGGCUAAAAUUAUGAGAAUUAUUUUGUCAAAUUUAAUACAAUUAUAUUUAUGGUAAUAACAUAUUUUCCAGCGGAAAUUGCCGUGGUCUAAAAAUUGAAAAUUUUUUUGGAAUCACUGGAAAUUUCUUCUAGUGCCAGUCGGUCGAGUCCCCAUCAUAGAGACCACAACAGAAAUUUCUCCCAAAAUAUAAAGACAAGGUCGAAAUUCAGAACACGAACCAGCCCCACUGUCAUUGCAACUUGCUAGUCCGGUAUUGUUUGAUUUCAUAAAUCCAACACUAACAGCCAAGUUUUGCUGUCAGCCUCAAUGCUAUAAUUUCCUUUCCUAAUUCUUGAUGACAAAAGAAAUCCGGUAUAUAUAUAUAUAUAUAUAUCUCUGCGUUCUGUCUCUGUUUUCAGGUCAAGAGUUUUGGAUUAAAUGGAUCAUAACAAUGCUGUUGGUGUUGAUAACACAUUUAGAAGAAAAUUCGAUCGAGAAGAGUAUUUAGAACGAGCUCGUGAGCGUGAAAAGCAGGAGACUGAGUCGCGUUUCAAAUCCAAAUCUAAAGCUCCACCAGUGCAAAGAAAACCCUUGAAGCAUAGGGAUUAUGAAGUAGACCUUGAGUCUCGAUUGGGGAAAACUCAGGUUGUCACUCCUAUAGCACCUCUAAGCCAGCAGGUAUGUUAUAACCAUGUUCCUUCUUAACUUGUUUUGGUUAUCAUAUAAGAAUAUGCGAAUGUGAUUCUGUUCAGACUUUUGGUACGAGUAUGCUGCUCUGUGAUUAAGGAGAUAUUAUUGGCUUCUGUUGCCUGAGUUUAGUUUUGUCUCUCCCGCACAAGUAUUUCUUCAAUAUGCCAAUGUCUAUUUUGAUGCUUUUUGGAUGGACAUGGUGCCAUGUCUGCUUUAUUUGUUUUGCCACUCCAUAGAAGGAGAUGUUAUGAUUGUUGUUUGAUUGUUUUUAUAUGUUUAUUUUAGUUAAUUCUUUCUGAAUCCUCUCUUUUGCAGGCUGGAUACUAUUGUUCAGUAUGUGAAUGUGUGGUGAAGGAUUCUGCAAACUACUUGGAUCACAUCAAUGGAAAGAAACAUCAAAGAGCUUUGGGCAUGUCUAUGCGGGUGGAGCGGGCAUCUCUUGAACAGGUUCAACAGCGAUUUGAAAGUCUCAAGAAACGGAAAAGUCCUGGCAGCUUCACAGAGCAAGGUAAAACUUAAAACUCAUGCAGAACAUGCAAUGCUUUUGUGUAGUUUGUUAAAGCUUUACUCUUUCAUUUUUCUCAGAUCUUGAUGAAAGGAUCCUAAAACAGCAGCAAGAAGAGGAGGAAAGGAAGCGUCAACGCCGAGAAAGAAAGAAAGAGAAAAAGGCAAGUACUCUCUCUUAUGGAAAUUCCGAUAAAAAUAAAUUGAAACCUUUAGACAUAUGUCUAAGGGCAUGUGCAGUCUUUUGAUCUCGAGAAUACUGAGGCAGAGUUUCUAUAUCUGAAAUUUAAAUUUUCCAUUUUAAUUUCUCUUUUACUGAUAGAUUAUUCUACUGUAAAAACACUGUACCAUGUUGACCAUGAAAAUUGAUGGCCUGUUGCUGAUUCAUUUCUGGUUCUGGAACUUCUGGGUACAGAAAGAGAAGGCAGCAGAAGAGGAGGAAGCCGAUGUUGAUCCUGAUGUUGCUGCCAUGAUGGGAUUUGGUGGUUUCCGUUCAUCCAAAAAGUAAUCAUAAUGUUUGGUCUUUCUUUCCUACAGUAAAGGAGCUUUGCCAUGUAAUUUCUCUUUCAAUAUCUGUACGAGCACAGCUUAAAUUUUGGCAGCUGCCCUUUCAUGAAGUGAAAAUUUCAUGUUUUCCUUUUUUUGGAGAUUAUUCGUGAAAAAUGUCGCAAAUUUAACAUGGAUUGUAACUAAUACAUUUUGACACCAAAUCCCCCUUUGGGGAACUUGUGUUGAAAGUAAUUACAGUGAUUUUGAAAGCG
rnacentral:misc_RNA from 1 species